UUAUUUACCUGGCAGGGGAAACACCUUGAUCACAAAGGAGGUUUUCCCAGGGUGAGGUUCAUCCACUGUACUCCAGGUGUGCUGACCCCUGCAAUUUCCCCAAAUGUAAGAAAACCAGUGUAGUGUAUUGGUGAAGAGCGGCGGAUUCUAAUCUGGAGAACCGGGUUCAA